GAGUUUGAUCGUGGCUCAGGAUGAACGCCGGCGGUGUGCCUAAUACAUGCAAGUCGUACGCACUGGCCCAACUGAUUGAUGGUGCUUGCACCUGAUCGACGAUGGAUCACCAGUGAGUGGCGGACGGGUGAGUAACACGUAGGUAACCUGCCCUGUACAGGGGAUAACAAUCAGAAAUGACUGCUAAUACCGCAUAAGACCACAGCACCGCAUGGUGCAGGGGUAAAAACUCCGGUGGUACAGGAUGGACCCGCGUCUGAUUAGCUGGUUGGUGAGGUAACGGCUCACCAAGGCGACGAUCAGUAGCCGGCUUGAGAGAGUGAACGGCCACAUUGGGACUGAGACACGGCCCAAACUCCUACGGGAGGCAGCAGUGGGGAAUAUUGCACAAUGGGGAAACCCUGAUGCAGCAACGCCGCGUGAGUGAAGAAGUAUUUCGGUAUGUAAAGCUCUAUCAGCAGGGAAGAAAGUGACGUACCUGACUAAGAAGCCCGGCUAACUACG
rnacentral:rRNA from 1 species